UGGGGAAUAUUGGGCAAUGGGAGAAACCCUGACCCAGCAACGCCGCGUGAAGGAAGAAGGCCUUCGGGUUGUAAACUUCUUUGAUCAGGGAAGAAACAAAUGACGGUACCUGAAAAACAAGCCACGGCUAACUACGUGCCAGCAGCCGCGGUAAUACGUAGGUGGCAAGCGUUAUCCGGAUUUACUGGGUGUAAAGGGCGUGUAGGCGGUCUCAUAAGUCAGAUGUGAAAUUCCCGGGCUUAACCCGGGCGCUGCAUCUGAAACUGUGGGACUUGAGUACUGGAGAGGAUAGUGGAAUUCCUAGUGUAGCGGUAAAAUGCGUAGAUAUUAGGAGGAACACCGGUGGCGAAGGCGACUAUCUGGACAGUAACUGACGCUGAGGCGCGAAAGCGUGGGGAGCAA
rnacentral:rRNA from 1 species